rnacentral:rRNA from 1 species
UACAGAGGGUGCGAGCGUUAAUCGGAAUUACUGGGCGUAAAGCGUGCGUAGGCGGUUAUUUAAGUCGGGUGUGAAAGCCCCGGGCUCAACCUGGGAAUUGCAUUCGAGACUGAAUAGCUAGGGUACGGUAGAGGGAAGUGGAAUUUCCGGUGUAGCGGUGAAAUGCGUAGAUAUCGGAAGGAACAUCAGUGGCGAAAGCGACUUCCUGGACCAGUACCGACGUUCAGGCACGAAAGCGUGGGGAGCAAACAGG